rnacentral:SRP_RNA from 1 species
GCCAGGUGCAGUGGCAUGUGCCUGUAGUCCCAACUACUCGGGAGGCUGAGGUGGGAGGAUCACUUGAGCCCAGGAGUUCUGGGCUGUAGUGUGCUAUGCCGAUCGGGUGUCCACACUUAGUUCGGCAUCAAUAUGCUGACCUCCCGAACGGUCAGGGACCACCAGGUUGCCUAAAGAGGGGUGAACCAGCCCCGGUCAUAANNNNNNNNNNAGGUUGUCCUAAGGAGGGGGGGAAACCAGCCCAGGUCAGAAACCAAGACCAGGUUCAAAACUCCUGUGCCGAUCAGUAGUGGGAUCGUGCCUGUGAAUAGCCACUGCACUCCAGCCUGGGCAACAUAGCGUGACCCUGUCUCUA